rnacentral:lncRNA from 1 species
CUUUUGAAAUGAAUUGCAGAAUAAAAGCUUUCUCGCCGGGAGGAAAAAGCUCAAUCCAAGAAUCCUCUUUUUUCUAUAGCAGAACUAAACUGAAGUUUCUUCAGAAUGCCCAUUCAAACCAAAGCAGACGUAUACGGAAGAGUCAUAACAUAAAAAAACGGUUUUUUUUUUCCACAAAAAUCAUUUUUUAUGCGUCUGUAAAUGUAAAACCGCUCAACUUAAUUCAGUAACAAAAUAAGC